GUGAGGAAUUUUCCGCAAUGGGCGAAAGCCUGACGGAGCAAUGCCGCGUGAAGGAUGAAGGCCUAUGGGUUGUAAACUUCUUUUCUUAGAGAAGAAUAUUGACGGUAUCUGAGGAAUAAGCAUCGGCUAACUCUGUGCCAGCAGCCGCGGUAAGACAGAGGAUGCAAGCGUUAUCCGGAAUGAUUGGGCGUAAAGCGUCUGUAGGUGGCUUCAAAAGUCUCCUGUCAAAGAUCAGGGCUGAACCCUGGGCCGGCAGGAGAAACUCUGAGGGUAGAGUUUGGUAGGGGCAGAGGUAAUUCCCGGUGGAGCGGUGAAAUGCGUAGAGAUCGGGAGGAACACCAAAGGCGAAAGCACUCUGCUGGGCCACAACUGACACUGAGAGACGAAAGCCAGGGGAGCAAAAGGGAUUAGAAACCCGUGUAGUCC
rnacentral:rRNA from 1 species